rnacentral:rRNA from 1 species
CCCCUAGUAACUGCGAGUGAAGCGGGAAAAGCUCAAAUUUAAAAUCUGGCGGUCUUUGGCCGUUCGAGUUGUAAUCUAGAGAAGUGUUACCCGCGCUGGACCGUGUACAAGUCUCCUGGAAUGGAGCGUCAUAGAGGGUGAGAAUCCCGUCUUUGACACGGACUGCCAGGGCUAUGUGGUGCGCUCUCAACGAGUCGAGUUGUUUGGGAAUGCAGCUCAAAAUGGGUGGUAAAUUCCAUCUAAAGCUAAAUAUUGGCGAGAGACCGAUAGCGAACAAGUACCGUGAGGGAAAGAUGAAAAGAACUUUGGAAAGAGAGUUAAACAGUACGUGAAAUUGCUGAAAGGGAAACGCUUGAAGUCAGUCGCGUUGGCCGGAAAUCAACCUUGCUUUUGCUGGGCGUACUUUCUGGUCGACGGGUCAGCAUCAAUUUUGACCGUUGGAUAAAGGCCAGGGGAAUGUGGCAUCUUCGGAUGUGUUAUAGCCCUUGGUUGCAUACAGCGGUUGGGAUUGAGGAACUCAGCACGCCGAAAGGCCGGGGUUUUUGCCCACGUACGUGCUUAGGAUGCUGGCAUAAUGGCUUUAAUCGACCCGUCUUGAAACACGGACCAAGGAGUCUAACAUGCCUGCGAGUAUUUGGGUGGAAAACCCGAGUGCGCAAUGAAAGUGAAAGUUGAGAUCCCUGUCGCGGGGAGCAUCGACGCCCGGACCUGAUGUUUACUGACGGUUCUGCGGUAGAGCAUGUAUGUUGGGA